AGCCCNCCCAUCGGAANGGGGNANCAAUUUUAAAUCCNUUUAACGAGGAUUCUAUUGGAGGGCAAGUCUGGGCCAACCANCCGCGGUAAUUCCAGGCUCCCAAAAGCGUAUAUUAAAGUUGUUCCGGUUAAAAAGCUCGUAGUUGGGUCUNCGNCCAAGAAAACCGGUCCCCCGUUGGGUGGUCACUGCAUUUCCUGGCCUAAUUCUCCGGUUUUCCCCUUGGUGCUCUUCAUUGAGUGUCAUUGGGGCCGGAACGUUUACUUUUGAAAAAAUUAGAGUGCUCAAAGCAGGCGUCUGCCUGAAUAGUGGUGCAUGGAAUAAUGAAAUAGGAUAUUGGUUCUGUUUUAUUGGUUCGGAGCUAAUAUAAUGAUUGAAGGGGACAGACGGGGGCAUUCGUAUUGCGACGUUAGAGGUGAAAUUCUUGGAUCGUCGCAAGACGGACUACUGCGAAAGCAUUUGCCAAGAAUGUUUUCAUCAAUCAAGAACGAAAGUCUGAGGUUCGAAGGCGAUCAGAUACCGCCCUAGUUCAGACCGUAAACGAUGCCAACUAGCGAUCCGUCGGCGUUAAUUUAUGACUCGACGGGCAGCUUCCGGGAAACCAAAGUUUUUGGGUUCCGGGGGAAGUAUGGUUGCAAAGCUGAAACUUAAAGGAAUUGACGGAAGGGCACCACCAGGAGUGGAGCCUGCGGCUUAAUUUGACUAAGGGC
rnacentral:rRNA from 1 species